rnacentral:rRNA from 1 species
AUACGUAGGGAGCGAGCGUUGUCCGGAAUUACUGGGUGUAAAGGGUGCGUAGGCGGGACUGCAAGUCAGAUGUGAAAUGCCGGGGCUCAACCCCGGAGCUGCAUUUGAAACUGUGGUUCUUGAGUGAGGGAGAGGGAAGCGGAAUUCCUAGUGUAGCGGUGAAAUGCGUAGAUAUUAGGAGGAACAUCGGUGGCGAAGGCGGCUUACUGGGCCUUUACUGACGCUGAGGCACGAAAGCGUGGGGAGCAACCAGGAUUAGAUACCCUGGUAGUCCACGCUGUAAACGAUGAUGACUAGGUGUGGGGGGACUGAACCCUUCCGUGCCGCAGUUAACACAAUAAGCCAUCCACCUGGGGAGUACGGCCGCAAGGUUGAAACUCAAAGGAAUUGGCGGGG